GCGAAGCCGGCACCCGUUCCGGAUGACUGCACCGACCCUCGUUGGAAGUGGUUUAAGUGUUGUCUCGGCGCGCUGGACGGCACCCAUAUAAGUGUCUUAGUACCUACCGAUGACAAACCACGUAAUAGAUCGAGGAAAGGCCAGAUAGCAACUAAUGUUCUAGUUGUAUGUGAUCGUCAAAUGCAGUUUGUGUACUUGCUCCCUGGCUGGGAAGGGUCUGCGGGAGACUCCCGCGUCCUCAAGGAUGCAGUUUCACAUGCUGGAGGCCUUAAAGUACCGCAAGGUUGCUAUUACCUUUGCGAUAAUGCUUAUGCAAAUUGCAAUGGGUUCCUCACACCAUUCAAGGCAACACGCUAUCAUCUCAAGGAGUGGGGUCCAGAGGCUGAAGCUCC